rnacentral:tRNA from 1 species
GCCUGGGUGGCUCAGUCGGUUAAGCGUCUGACUUCGGCUCAGGUCAUGAUCUCACGGUUCGUGGGUUCGAGCCCUGCGUCGGGCC